CCUACGGGAGGCAGCAGUGGGGAAUAUUGGGCAAUGGGCGCUAGCCUGACCCAGCAACGCCGCGUGAGCGAUGAAGGUCUUCGGAUUGUAAAGCUCUGUCGCAGGGGACGAAGUAUGACGGUACCCUGUAAGAAAGCCCCGGCAAAAUACGUGCCAGCAGCCGCGGUAAUACGUAGGAGGCGAGCGUUGUCCGGAAUUACUGGGCGUAAAGGGAGUGUAGACGGCUGGCCAAGUUAAGUGUGAAAGCCUGCGGCUUAACCGUAGAAUUGCACUUAAUACUGACUGGCUAGAGUGCAGUAGAGGUGAGUGGAAUGCCUAGUGUAGCGGUGGAAUGCGUAGAUAUUAGGAGGAACACCAGUUGCGAAGGCGGCUCACUGGACUGUAACUGACGUUGAGGCUCGAAAGCGUGGGGAGCAAACAGGAUUAGAUACCCGAGUAGUC
rnacentral:rRNA from 1 species